rnacentral:rRNA from 1 species
CGUAGGCGGUUUUUUAAGUCAGAUGUGUAAUCCCCGAGCUUAACUUGGGAACUGCAUCUGAGACUGGAAGGCUAGAGUACUGGAGAGGGUGGUGGAAUUCCUCGUGUAGCGGUGAAAUGCGUAGAGAUGAGGAGGAACACCAGUGGCGAAGGCGGCCACCUGGACAGUAACUGACGCUGAGGCGCGAAAGUGUGGGUAGCAAACAGGAUUAGAUACCCUGGUAGUCCACGCUAGUAAACGAUGAACACUUGGUGUGGAGGGAGUUCGACCCCUUCCGUGCCGGAGCUAACGCGUUAAGUGUUCCGCCGUGGGGAGUACGGUCGCAAGGCUAGAA